rnacentral:rRNA from 1 species
CACGUAGGGGGCAAGCGUUGUCCGGAUUUAUUGGGCGUAAAGAGCUCGUAGGUGGCUGAGUAAGUCGGAUGUUAAAUCCCCAGGCUCAACCUGGGACACCACCCGAUACUGCUCUAGCUAGAGUCCGGUAGGGGAGCAUGGAAUUCCUGGUGUAGCGGUGAAAUGCGCAGAUAUCAGGAGGAACACCCAGCGGCGAAGGCGGUGCUCUGGGCCGGAACUGACACUGAGGAGCGAAAGCGUGGGGAGCAAACAGG